rnacentral:lncRNA from 12 species
CUCUAGGGCUUCAGGUCAGUUCUGUAGAGUUCCCAGAUCCAAAGAGAUGAGAAGUCAUCAAGACCAACAAUGUAAGAGAAGGGAUUCUUGCAAAUGCCUUGAAAUCUCAUUCCAUUUCCCCUGCGACCUGUAAUGAGCACAGUUCCCUUUCUUUACCAGAGUCCUUAAUCCUGACCCCUCGGGAUUUACAACUACCACACACUUGAUAUUAACUGUCAUUUCUUUGUCCUCAGGUUUAACAUCAGUUCAUUUCAGUUGUCUGGUUCUGGCCUUGGUAGAGCACCAGCCUACUUUCAGUCCUUACUGCCCAUCUGUAAAUUCUUCUAGUCCCUUUCUCUCACUGGAAUUUCCCACCAUAAGAGCUAUUUAAUGCCUCCUCCUGCUCCAAGCAGGUAUAACCCUGCUGGUUGACACAAGGGAAGUUUACCCUUCAGCUCUCGGCAAGACAUACCCAGUGUGUAACACAUAUGUAAUGUAUAAUAAAUAGAGAUGAUAGUUUUGAAGGAAUUCGUUGCCUAACCAAUGUGAUAUGGCAGCUUAUACUCCAUAUGACCUCCACCAUUUUCUCUCAUUCUCUAUGUGCCUCCAGCUCUCUCCUUUGCUGUGCUCUUAUUCUUCUGACAUGGGAAUAUGACUCAGAAUAAGUUAAAGAGAAUAGAUAAAACUAAACCACAAGAACAAUACCACAGGCACAUAACCGAUACCUUCAACUGAGAAGAAAUAGGCCAGAAAUCCACAAGGACCAGUUGAGAGGUAUAAACAAAUUUUACAUAAACAUGUAAAUUUUUUUUAAUAUAUUUUCAAUUUUUUUUAAGAUUUAUUUAUUUAUUCAUGAUAGAUGUAGAGAGAGAAAGAGAGAGGCACAGGCACAGGAGGAGAGAGAAGCAGGCUCCAUGCUGGGAGCCUGACGUGGGACUCGAUCCCGGGACUCCAGGAUCACGCCCUGGGCCAAAGGCAGGCGCCAAACUGCUGAGCCACCCAGGGAUCCCCCAUAAACAUUACUCUGCUGGAAUGUGUGCUGGAUUUGGGGGACAGCUGGAGAGCAGGAGGAAAGGAGCCGGGAAGGAAAGAAGCAAGCUGAAGUUUCCUCCUCUACAGUGAAGCAACUCAUUGAUCAUACUA